AAUAAAAUAAAUUAAUCAAUCGAACUAAUUCCCCAAUAUAACUGAACAUAACCUAUAUCCUGUGACAAUGACAUUUAAGUUUUACAACAAGAUUUAUUUUUCGUGGUUUUUAGAUUUAAUUUUCUAUAUUUCAUGAAAUAAUGGUGUGUAAGAAGAAAUGUUUGGAAUAAAAGAGCACACCCGCGCAGCGUUCGAAAACCACGUUAAUUGAAUUCACGAUACGCCAUCAACGACGACGACGACGACGAGAGGUGGACGACCACGGAGGCAACGCAGGAAAUUCAUUAUCGUAACGAGUGGACCGCAUUGUUCGAUGUUAAAACGCGACUUUACGGGUUUUAACGAGUCACCAUCUCUUUUCCUGCAGGCGCCAAUUAAGUGUGUUUUAAUAAAUUACCCGAAGAACACGCCGCAUCGGGCACCAAGCCAAAAGGAAGGCUGCUCUCCUUCCUACUUAAUUGACCGUCACCUUUUGUCAGCAACCGAAACCAUCUUUCUCCUAUAAUGAUCUAUUGGGCAUCAAUUUCACCCCUUGAUGAUUAUAAUGGGACCGUAAUUAAGGUUAAGCUGGGUAUAAUGAAUUUUGGUUUAGAAAUGAGUUAAUUAAGGUAAUAUAAACGAAGCCGUAAACUGGUUUUAAGAAACGCGAGGAAGACAAUAAAAGCAAGAAAAUGCAUCAAAGUACUAAGAAAAUCAAAAUGGCAAUCUUGAGAGUCUCACAAAACUUAGAACCAGUCUGGAAUUUAAAUAAGAACCAAGUUACCGAAGUUACUGCUUCGAUUUAAUUUACUGCCGACCUUAAAGUAUUUAUAUUGCUUUGUAGUUGGCUUUUAAUUAGUAAUACGGUUUUCGAAAAUAGAAUGGAAAUAGUGACCGUUGCGGAAAUGAAUACGACGUAAGCCAUUGAAACAGAGCUAAAAUUACAACCGAAAACGCUACUUCAACGCUGCACACCAAAGAGUAAUAUACGUUAAUGGGUUUGUUUUAGUAUUCAUCGCUUGAACGGAUUCUGUAUGGUAACGAAAAUUGUCCUCGGGGUACGAACCGUUUCUCAUAUUAUUUUAAACGA